rnacentral:rRNA from 1 species
UACAGAGGGUGCAAGCGUUGUUCGGAAUUAUUGGGCGUAAAGGGUGUGUAGGCGGCUUGUUAAGUCUUCUGUGAAAGCUACGGGCUUAGCCUGUAAAGUGCAGAGGAAACUGGCGAGCUUGAGUGUCGGAGAGGGUAGCGGAAUUCCCGGUGUAGAGGUGAAAUUCGUAGAGAUCGGGAGGAACACCAGUGGCGAAGGCGGCUAGCUGGCUGACAACUGACGCUGAGACUCGAAAGCAUGGGGAGCAAACAGG